rnacentral:tRNA from 1 species
CGGAGUGUAGCGCAGCUCGGUAGCGCACUUGUCUGGGGGACAAGGGGUCGUGGGUUCAAAUCCCGCCACUCCGACCA